rnacentral:rRNA from 1 species
GGGCGGAAGCCUGAUGCAGCGACGCCGCGUGAGGGAUGACGGCCUUCGGGUUGUAAACCUCUUUCGCCAGGGACGAAGCGCAAGAGACGGUACCUGGAGAAGAAGCACCGGCUAACUACGUGCCAGCAGCCGCGGUAAUACGUAGGGUGCAAGCGUUGUCCGGAAUUAUUGGGCGUAAAGAGCUCGUAGGCGGCUUGUCGCGUCUGCUGUGAAAAUCCGGGGCUUAACUCCGGACCUGCAGUGGAUACGGGCAGGCUUGAGUUCGGUAGGGGAGACUGGAAUUCCUGGUGUAGCGGUGAAAUGCGCAGAUAUCAGGAGGAACACCGGUGGCGAAGGCGGGUCUCUGGGCCGAUACUGACGCUGAGGAGCGAAAGCGUGGGGAGCGAACAGGAUUAGAUACCCUGGUAGUCCACGCUGUAAACGUUGGGCGCUAGGUGUGGGUGACUUCCACGUUGUCCGUGCCGUAGCUAACGCAUUAAGCGCCCCGCCUGGG